rnacentral:lncRNA from 1 species
GGCAGCAGGAACUGCACAUAUGAACAUGACAUGAUGUACGCUGUGUGUCUUUCAGAAACACAUGGAGGAGCAGUAUGGUGAACACUAUGCACAGAAAGUAGAGGACAGGCUGCUGCACUAUCUACACAAGCUGGAGACUGUGUUACCAGGAGAUACUUACAUUGACAAGUUACUGAAGAAAUCAAGUCCUGUGACUGAAGAGGAGAAGCUACUGUUGGAAGUGGUUACCUGUGACUCCACAAGCAUAGCAACAACUUUAAAGACACUGCUGCACUGUGAUUUUGCAUCAUGUCGUCAGGCCAGGAGUUCUCAAUCAUCAGAAAACAGAGAGAGUGAAAUGGAAAGCUCUCCGUUGUCAAAGUCUGUUCUGAAUGGCAGCUCUUCAAAGGCUGUUCUCAAGCCUAGGAUGGAAGAAAAAAGCAGUGACAAAGGACAUGAGGACAUCUGUCAGAGAAGCAGGGAGCCUGCCUCCUCUCCUCAUUUCUGCUCGAAACACCAGAGAUGGGUGAAGAGCAUCCUGCAGGAGUGUCCGGACGAGUGCUCAGAUGAGCUGCUACAUCAGGCCAAUGCUUCUUUAUCUCCCCCGCUGUUCCACUCAUUGUCAUCCACAUCUUCAUCACAGGACCUCACCCCAUCUGACCUCGUCCCAUGUCCCCCUGACCAACAUUCACCCUUCAAAGAUCCUUACCCAGCUUCAGACGCCCAGCCUUCUGAACAAACGCAGCCCGAAGAGAAGCACAGCCCUGAAUUAGUAAGGGAUAGCUCUCAAACAGAACCUCUUCCUAAUGAGUCUUCGCCCAGACACAUUGUUCUGCCUGCUCUGUUGUCGCCAGUGGUUCGACUGGUUGACAUUCUCUCAGUUACAAGGAGCUGUCCUACCAUUAAACCCCAUCAGCAAUCUGCAAAUCAUUUCACCAUGUUUAGUAACAAAAAGGCAGCUUCCACUCCCCAGCUACUAACCUAUCCUCAUUGCAGUACCUCAGAGAACAAAGACUCUUUGUCAACUCAACCAGAAAGCGUUGAUCUUCCAAAUGCGACAUACAAAUUACAAACAGCUCCUGCAUCUUCCAGCUGUCAGCCAAGAAAUUUACGGCCUUUUUCCAAACUCUCAAGAAAGUAUAAAGGGACUUGCAGUAACACCAGACAUUCACAGACUCACGAAUUUAGUCAAAACCCUUUAGAUGAACAGACCAAAAUAACCCUACCUACCUUUCAGAAGACUUGUCCUCCCUUGCUGGACUUCAUUGUUUCUCCUACAAUUGACAGUUCUACCUCUACUUCUCAGUCAGUUCAUUCAGGGAGUCUGUUGUCACUCUGCAAAGCAAAUCAAAUCCCUUCACCUACCACAUCAUCUCAAGCUUUCUAUCAGAACUCCCCCAAGCCUCUUCCACAGGGGCACAGUCCUUUUCAAUUAAAUACACUACCAUCCUCCACUGUUGUCCCCUCUGCCUCCAACUCUGAUUGUCUGGCCAUCAGUCUUGACACCAGCAAAGUCAGCAGAACCUGGAUGACAUCAUCACUUCUGAGACAGGCUGUGCCGCUGCAGUCCACGAUGCUACAGCCCUCCGUGAGUAUAACUAGGCUGAGCUCUCGUGAGUGUUACCGCAUUACCAAGGGGAGAUGCUCAGCCAGGUGCGCAGAGCCUGUGUUGCAAGGCAGAAAUGAAGAGGAAAUGAGGAAGGAGGAGGAAGAAGAUGCGGAUUCUUCUUUUGAUCCAAACUGUCUUUACUCCAGUCAUUCUUCAAGUGACAGUGAGGGCUGGACUGAUUUUGACCCAGACUACAAACCUUGCAUUAAAAAGAAGAGACUACUCCUGGAGUAUGAGGCUGCUCGGAUCCUGGACCAUAUAUGAAAACAUUAUAACAUUAGGAAUGUAACUUAAACAAGACAGGGGGUUGAGAUCAAAUCCAAUAAUAAUGUUGCGUUUUAACAUCUUCAGGAUUUCUGCAUCAGGAACCAUUAAAUUAGUUUUUUCUUUCGGCAGUAAUAAUAUUAAAUAAUAUAAUACAAAUUAACUUUUUGCUCAUAGGUUUCUAUAUGUACAAAUACUAAACUAUGCAAUAUACUAAUACUGGUAAUAAGGUAAUCUAGUAUUAAGAGUUAGGAUUGCUGUACAUAUUUUAAUAUUAAGAAUAGGUAAAAUCACAGUGAUGUGAAACAACACCAGAAACCAGCAAACUUACUAGACUGUAACUUAUGAAAUGUGAGAAAUAUUUAGUCUCAGUUUAGACUCGGUGAGCAAUUUUAAAAACACUGUUAUUUAAUGCAGUAAGUAAUUUAUUAAAGGACAUGUUUAACUUGAGAUAUGUCGUCCAUUGAUCCAAAAGGGUUUCAGUUAACGUUUGUAUGCUGCUGGAUGUUACCAAUAUACCAAUUUCUUGUAGCAUUGUGUGUAGCAGGUGUGUCUCGAACAAUUGACUGUUUCAUUACCACAAAAAAUAUCUUGUUGUAGAUUUAUCUGAUAAAUGUGAAUAAACAGCUGUGUUGUGUUUUUGUCAGUUGGUACAACAUAAAUGCAGCAAAUACAUAGACAUCAUUGAUGAAAACCUGUUCCAGAGCGCUCUGGACCUCAGAGUGGGGCAAUUGUUCAUCUUUCAUGUUUCAACAGGACAACGCAACGACCCUAAGCACAAGCCAGGAUAACAUAGGAGUGGCUACAGGAGAACUCUGUGAGUGUCCUUGAGUGGUCCUGCUGGAGCCCAGACUUGAACCUGAAUUGCAAAGAAGAAUAAGAGAAACUGCUCAAAAAUACAGACAUGAGCCUGUAAUUGGUGCUCAAGAUGCUUCAACUAAGUAUUGAGCAAAGACUGUGAAUACUUAAAUACAUGUGAUUUUCUUUUGUAUUUAUUUUUAAAUAAAACUGCAAAUACUUCUUAUUUUUUCCACUUCGACAUUAUGGAGUAUUGUUUGUAGAACUGUAAGGAAAAUAAUUAAAUGUAAUCAAUUUUGAAAUAAGGCUGUAACAUAACAAAAUGUGAAAAAAGUGGAGCUCUGUGAAUGCUUUCAGGAUGCACUGUAUGAACACAGCACGAUGGUGAACAUAGGAGACAUACCUUCUUGGUACUUGCAUGUUAUAGAGUGGAUUAGCAGUGUCAGUGUCAAGGCCAUUCAAUUUUUGUGAUUCAGUGAACUAAUUAGAUUUUUUGGAUGUCACACUGACUUUGUUUUCAUCCAGUUGUGGACCAUACUUGUAAUACAGUGCUUAUAAAAAGUAUUCACCCCCUUGGAUGUUUUAUCCUUUUAUUGACAUUAUAGAUUUAUAAUGUCAAUAAAAGGAUAAAACAUCCAUCAUGAUUAAUAAAAGUUGGCGACUUUGACAAAAAUACUUCAGAGAAAUACCUCAUUAAUGUCAAAGUGAAAACCGGUUUCUACAAAGUAAUGUCA